AGCAUGGUCUUAGCUUGCUAAGGCUGAUGGCGACCGGCGCACGGGUGAGUAACACGUAUCCUACUUGACGUCUACUCUUGGACAGCCUUCUGAAAGGAAGAUUACUUUAAGAUGGCAUCAUGAGUUCACAUGUUCACAUGAUUAAAGGUAUUCCGGUAGACGAUGGGGAUGCGUUCCAUUAGAUAGUAGGCGGGGUAACGGCCCACCUAGUCUUCGAUGGAUAGGGGUUCUGAGAGGAAGGUCCCCCACAUUGGAACUGAGACACGGUCCAAACUCCUACGGGAGGCAGCAGUGAGGAAUAUUGGUCAAUGGGCGAGAGCCUGAACCAGCCAAGUAGCGUGAAGGAUGACUGCCCUAUGGGUUGUAAACUUCUUUUAUAAAGGAAUAAAGUCGGGUAUGUAUACCCGUUUGCAUGUACUUUAUGAAUAAGGAUCGGCUAACUCCGUGCCAGCAGCCGCGGUAAUACGGAGGAUCCGAGCGUUAUCCGGAUUUAUUGGGUUUAAAGGGAGCGUAGAUGGAUGUUUAAGUCAGUUGUGAAAGUUUGCGGCUCAACCGUAAAAUUGCAGUUGAUACUGGAUAUCUUGAGUGCAGUUGAGGCAGGCGGAAUUCGUGGUGUAGCGGUGAAAUGCUUAGAUAUCACGAAGAACUCCGAUUG
rnacentral:rRNA from 1 species